UACGUAGGGUGCGAGCGUUGUCCGGAAUUAUUGGGCGUAAAGAGCUCGUAGGCGGUGUGUCGCGUCGGCCGUGAAAACCCGGGGCUCAACCCCGGGCCCUGCAGUCGAUACGGGCAGACUAGAGUGCGGUAGGGGAGGACUGGAAUUCCUGGUGUAGCGGUGAAAUGCGCAGAUAUCAGGAGGAACACCGGUGGCGAAGGCGGGUCUCUGGGCCGUAACUGACGCUGAGGAGCGAAAGCGUGGGGAGCGAACAGG
rnacentral:rRNA from 1 species